UGACGAGUGGCGGACGGGUGAGUAAUGUCUGGGAAACUGCCCGAUGGAGGGGGAUAACUACUGGAAACGGUAGCUAAUACCGCAUAACGUCGCAAGACCAAAGUGGGGGACCUUCGGGCCUCACACCAUCGGAUGUGCCCAGAUGGGAUUAGCUUGUAGGCGGGGUAACGGCCCACCUAGGCGACGAUCCCUAGCUGGUCUGAGAGGAUGACCAGCCACACUGGAACUGAGACACGGUCCAG
rnacentral:rRNA from 1 species